rnacentral:rRNA from 1 species
AGUGAACGCUGGCGGUAGGCCUAACACAUGCAAGUCGAACGGCAGCACAGUAAGAGCUUGCUCUUACGGGUGGCGAGUGGCGGACGGGUGAGGAAUACAUCGGAAUCUACUUUUUCGUGGGGGAUAACGUAGGGAAACUUACGCUAAUACCGCAUACGACCUACGGGUGAAAGCAGGGGAUCUUCGGACCUUGCGCGAUUGAAUGAGCCGAUGUCGGAUUAGCUAGUUGGCGGGGUAAAGGCCCACCAAGGCGACGAUCCGUAGCUGGUCUGAGAGGAUGAUCAGCCACACUGGAACUGAGACACGGUCCAGACUCCUACGGGAGGCAGCAGUGGGGAAUAUUGGACAAUGGGCGCAAGCCUGAUCCAGCCCUACCGCGUGGGUGAAGAAGGCCUUCGGGUUGUAAAGCCCUUUUGUUGGGAAAGAAAAGCAGCAGGUUAAUACCCCGCUGUUCUGACGGUACCCAAAGAAUAAGCACCGGCUAACUUCGUG